UACGUAUGGAGCAAGCGUUAUCCGGAUUUACUGGGUGUAAAGGGAGCGUAGACGGAGGAGCAAGUCUGGUGUGAAAGGCGGGGGCUUAACCCCUGGACUGCAUUGGAAACUGUUUUUCUAGAGUGCCGGAGAGGUAAGCGGAAUUCCUAGUGUAGCGGUGAAAUGCGUAGAUAUUAGGAGGAACACCAGUGGCGAAGGCGGCUUACUGGACGGUAACUGACGUUGAGGCUCGAAAGCGUGGGGAGCAAACAGG
rnacentral:rRNA from 1 species